UCUCCCUGGGGAAACGGGUGGUAAUGCCGGAUGCUCCAGUUGAUCGCAUGGUCUUCUGGGAAAGCUUUCGCGGUAUGGGAUGGGGUCGCGUCCUAUCAGCUUGACGGCGGGGUAACGGCCCACCGUGGCUUCGACGGGUAGCCGGCCUGAGAGGGCGACCGGCCACAUUGGGACUGAGAUACGGCCCAGACUCCUACGGGAGGCAGCAGUGGGGAAUAUUGCACAAUGGGCGCAAGCCUGAUGCAGCGACGCCGCGUGAGGGAUGGAGGCCUUCGGGUUGUAAACCUCUUUUAUCGGGGAGCAAGCGUGAGUGAGUUUACCCGUUGAAUAAGCACCGGCUAACUACGUGCCAGCAGCCGCGGUAAUACGUAGGGUGCAAGCGUUAUCCGGAAUUAUUGGGCGUAAAGGGCUCGUAGGCGGUUCGUCGCGUCCGGUGUGAAAGUCCAUCGCUUAACGGUGGAUCCGCGCCGGGUACGGGCGGGCUUGAGUGCGGUAGGGGAGACUGGAAUUCCCGGUGUAACGGUGGAAUGUGUAGAUAUCGGA
rnacentral:rRNA from 1 species